rnacentral:rRNA from 1 species
CACGUAGGCGGAUUGCUAAGUCAGGGGUGAAAUCCUGGAGCUCAACUCCAGAACUGCCUUUGAUACUGGCGACCUUGAGUCCGGGAGAGGUGAGUGGAACUGCGAGUGUAGAGGUGAAAUUCGUAGAUAUUCGCAAGAACACCAGUGGCGAAGGCGGCUCACUGGCCCGGUACUGACGCUGAGGUGCGAAAGCGUGGGGAGCAACA